rnacentral:rRNA from 1 species
GAUGAACGCUGACAGAAUGCUUAACACAUGCAAGUCGAUGGGGAAGUGGUGCUUGCACCAUGGCAACCAUGGCGGACGGGUGAGUAACGCGUAAGGGACUUACCUGCAGGACUGGGAUAACAGGGGGAAACUCCUGACAAGACCGGAUAAUGUCAUGGAGCUGCAUGGCUUUAUGAUGAAAGGAGACGCCUGCGGAGAGCCUUGCGUCCUAUUAGCUAGUUGGUGAGGUAAUGGCUCACCAAGGCGAAGAUAGGUAGCCGGCCUGAGAUGGUGGACGGCCACAAGGGGACUGAGAUACGGCACUUACUCCUACGGGAGGCAGCAGUGGGGAAUAUUGGACAAUGGGGGCAACCCUGAUCCAGCAAUUCUGUGUGCACGAAGAAGGUUUUCGGAUUGUAAAGUGCUUUCAGCAGGGAAGAAGUAAGUGACGGUACCUGCAGAAGAAGCGACGGCUAAAUACGUG